rnacentral:rRNA from 1 species
ACUUCUGAUUCCUUCGGGGAGAUGAAGUUGGUAGAAAGUGGCGAACGGGUGAGUAACGCGUGGGUAAUCUACCCUGUUAGUGGGGGAUAACCCUCCGAAAGGAGGGCUAAUACCGCAUAAGGUCUUCACUUCUUAAGAAGUAAAGAUUAAAGAUGGCCUCUAUACUAUGCUAUCGCUUCAGGAUGAGCCCGCGUCCUAUUAGUUAGUUGGUGGGGUAAUGGCCUACCAAGACCACAAUGGGUAGCCGGUCUGAGAGGAUGUACGGCCACACUGGGACUGAGAUACGGCCCAUACUCCUACGGGAGGCAGCAGUGGGGAAUAUUGCGCAAUGGGGGAAACCCUGACGCAGCGACGCCGCGUGGAUGAUGAAGGCCUUUGGGUUGUAAAAUCCUGUUCUGGGGGAAGAAACCUUAAGGGUCCAAUAAACCCUUAAGCUGACGGUACCCCGAGAGAAAGCUCCGGCUAAUUAUGUGCCAGCAGCCGCGGUAAUACAUAAGGAGCAAGCGUUAUCCGGAAUUAUUGGGCGUAAAGAGCUCGUAGGCGGUCUUAAAAGUCAGGUGUGAAAUUAUCAGGCUUAACCUGAUAAGGUCAUCUGAAACUUUAAGACUUGAGGAUAGAAGAGGAAAGUGGAAUUCCCGGUGUAGCGGUGAAAUGCGUACAUAUCGGGAGGAACACCAGUGGCGAAGGCGGCUUUCUGGUCUAUUUCUGACGC